UACGUAGGGGGCAAGCGUUGUCCGGAUUUAUUGGGCGCAAAGAGCGUGUAGGCGGCCAGGUAGGUCCGUUGUGAAAACUCGAGGCUCAACCUCGAGACGUCGGCGGAAACCCUCUGGCUAGAGUCCGGAAGAGGAGAGUGGAAUUCCUGGUGUAGCGGUGAAAUGCGCAGAUAUCAGGAAGAACACCCGUGGCGAAGGCGGCUCUCUGGGACGGUACUGACGCUGAGACGCGAAAGCGUGGGGAGCAAACAGG
rnacentral:rRNA from 1 species